UUAUUUUAGCGGCGGACGGUGAGUAACGUGUGGGUAACCUGCUUUUACUGGGGAAUAAUCACUGGAAACGGUGACUAAUACCGCAUACGGUUCUUGGAAGGCAUCUUCUAGGAAAGAAAGGAUUUAUUCGGUAAAAAGAUGGGCCCGCAUCUGAUUAGCUAGUUGGUGAGAUAACAGCCCACCAAGGCGACGAUCAGUAGCCGACCUGAGAGGGUGACCGGCCACAUUGGGACUGAGACACGGCCCAAACUCCUACGGGAGGCAGCAG
rnacentral:rRNA from 1 species